rnacentral:rRNA from 1 species
AUUGAACGCUGGCGGCAUGCCUUACACAUGCAAGUCGAACGGUAACAGGUCUUCGGAUGCUGACGAGUGGCGAACGGGUGAGUAAUACAUCGGAACGUGCCUAGUAGUGGGGGAUAACUACUCGAAAGAGUGGCUAAUACCGCAUGAGAUCUACGGAUGAAAGCAGGGGAUCGCAAGACCUUGUGCUACUAGAGCGGCCGAUGGCAGAUUAGGUAGUUGGUGGGAUAAAAGCUUACCAAGCCGACGAUCUGUAGCUGGUCUGAGAGGACGAUCAGCCACACUGGGACUGAGACACGGCCCAGACUCCUACGGGAGGCAGCAGUGGGGAAUUUUGGACAAUGGGCGAAAGCCUGAUCCAGCAAUGCCGCGUGCAGGAUGAAGGCCUUCGGGUUGUAAACUGCUUUUGUACGGAACGAAAAGCCCCGGGUUAAUACCCUGGGGUCAUGACGGUACCGUAAGAAUAAGCACCGGCUAACUACGUGCCAGCCGCCGCGGUAA